rnacentral:rRNA from 1 species
ACUCCUACGGGAGGGCAGCAGUAGGGAAUCUUCCACAAUGGGCGCAAGCCUGAUGGAGCAACACCGCGUGAGUGAAGAAGGGUUUCGGUCUCGUAAAGCUCUGUUGUUAAAGAAGAACACGUAUGAGAGUAACUGUUCAUACGUUGACGGUAUUUAACCAGAAAGUCACGGCUAACUACGUGCCAGCAGCCGCGGUAAUACGUAGGUGGCAAGCGUUAUCCGGAUUUAUUGGGCGUAAAGAGAGUGCAGGCGGUUUUCUAAGUCUGAUGUGAAAGCCUUCGGCUUAACCGGAGAAGUGCAUCGGAAACUGGAUAACUUGAGUGCAGAAGAGGGUAGUGGAACUCCAUGUGUAGCGGUGGAAUGCGUAGAUAUACGGAAGAACACCAGUGGCGAAGGCGGCUACCUGGUCUGCAACUGACGCUGAGACUCGAAAGCAUGGGUAGCGAACAGGAUUAGAUACCCUGGUAGGAUAGCG